rnacentral:rRNA from 1 species
AUUGAACGCUGGCGGCAGGCUUAACACAUGCAAGUCGAGCGGAGAGAAGUAGCUUGCUACUGAUCUUAGCGGCGGACGGGUGAGUAAUGCUUAGGAAUCUGCCUAUUAGUGGGGGACAACAUUUCGAAAGGAAUGCUAAUACCGCAUACGUCCUACGGGAGAAAGCAGGGGAUCUUCGGACCUUGCGCUAAUAGAUGAGCCUAAGUCGGAUUAGCUAGUUGGUGGGGUAAAGGCCUACCAAGGCGACGAUCUGUAGCGGGUCUGAGAGGAUGAGCCGCCACACUGGGACUGGGACACGGCCCAGAAUCCUACGGGAGGCAGCAGUGGGGAAUCUUGGACAAUGGGCGGAAGCCUGAUCCGGCCAUGCCGCGUGUGUGAAGAAGGCCUUAUGGUUGUAAAGCACUUUAAGCGAGGAGGAGGCUACUUUAGUUAAUACCUAGACAUAGUGGACGUUACUCGCAGAAUAAGCACCGGCUAACUCUGCGCCAGCAGCCGCCGUAACAC